rnacentral:rRNA from 1 species
AUACAUGCCUAUAUCAUAGCGUUAAUGCAUUGGAUCCCAUUAGAAUUUUGUAGUUAAGUGCGCUCGGGCUAGAGUAGUACUGGGAUGGGUGACCGCCCGGGAAGUGCCAGUGUUUUACAUG